CCUACGGGUGGCAGCAGUGGGGGAUAUUGGACAAUGGGGGCAACCCUGAUCCAGCGAUGCCGCGUGUGUGAAGAAGGCCUGAGGGUUGUAAAGCACUUUCAGUGGGGAGGAGAUAUCUUAUGUUAAGAGCUAGAGGUUGAGACGUUACCCACAGAAGAAGCACCGGCUAACUCCGUGCCAGCAGCCGCGGUAAUACGGAGGGUGCGAGCGUUAAUCGGAAUUAUUGGGCGUAAAGGGUGCGUAGGUGGUUGGAUAAGUUAUCUGUGAAAACCCUGGGCUUAACCUGGGGGAGAGAGAUAAGACUGUUUAACUAGAGUAUGGGAGAGGGUAGUGGAAUUUCCGGUGUAGCGGUGAAAUGCGUAGAGAUCGGAAGGAACACCGGUGGCGAAGGCGGCUACCUGGCCUAAUACUGACACUGAGGCACGAAAGCGUGGGGAGCGAACAGGAUUAGAUACCCUUGUAGUC
rnacentral:rRNA from 1 species